UGCAGGUGCUCAGGCAAUGUGGUCC
rnacentral:misc_RNA from 1 species